rnacentral:lncRNA from 1 species
CUACCUCAAUUAGCCGGAAUCGUAUUAUUUAACGUAACAAUUUCCUUUAUCCCCAAUUUGUGGCAGGUAGUCAUUCCAAUACAACUGGAAUGGCAGCGGCAUCACCCACAACUCUAGUAGCAGCAACAACAAUUUUGGAAGGGAAUUUAAUAGAGGCUGAAGCAAACACAAGGGUAAAACAGAACAGAUCAUCAAAGGAGCAGUAAUUAGAAUAUUGAUUGUAGAACAAAACCUAUCUUACCAAAAGAAAUACGGGAAUGGAGCAG